rnacentral:lncRNA from 1 species
UUGCAUCUGCUCACCUUGGGACGUUGACUAUAUUUCUUUUGUCUGCUCCCCCUCAGAUGUAUGCUCCUCUUCUUCUGCUAUCUCCCCCUCAGCCUUUGCAAAUACAAGUUCAUCAUCCUUUGGCUCCCCCUUAGAUGAUGACCCUACUUCUUUCUUGUUUUGUUUCCUUCUGUUCUUCUUGGCUCUUCAUGAAUGCCUCUUAUUCUGCCUCUUUUUAUGCCUUUCUUUCUUCCCCAUUUUGUCAUUAAUCAUUUGAGAGAGCUGUUCCAUAUUGGAC